GAUGAACGCUGGCGGCGUGCCUAAUACAUGCAAGUAGAACGCUGAAGGAGGAGCUUGCUCUUCUGGAUGAGUUGCGAACGGGUGAGUAACGCGUAGGUAACCUGCCUGGUAGCGGGGGAUAACUAUUGGAAACGAUAGCUAAUACCGCAUGACAACAGUUAUUGCAUGAUAACUGUUUAAAAGGGGCAACUGCUCCACUACCAGAUGGACCUGCGUUGUAUUAGCUAGUUGGUGAGGUAACGGCUCACCAAGGCGACGAUACAUAGCCGACCUGAGAGGGUGAUCGGCCACACUGGGACUGAGACACGGCCCAGACUCCUACGGGAGGCAGCAGUAGGGAAUCUUCGGCAAUGGACGGAAGUCUGACCGAGCAACGCCGCGUGAGUGAAGAAGGUUUUCGGAUCGUAAAGCUCUGUUGUAAGAGAAGAACGAGUGUGAGAGUGGAAAGUUCACACUGUGACGGUAUCUUACCAGAAAGGGACGGCUAACUACGUG
rnacentral:rRNA from 1 species